rnacentral:rRNA from 1 species
AUCCAGCGAACUUGGCAGAGAUGCCUUGGUGCCUUCGGGAACGCUGAGACAGGUGCUGCAUGGCUGUCGUCAGCUCGUGUUGUGAAAUGUUGGUUAAGUCCCGCAACGAGCGCAACCCUUAUCCUUUGUUGCCAGCGAUUCGGUCGGGAACUCAAAGGAGACUGCCGGUGAUAAACCGGAGGAAGGUGGGGAUGACGUCAAGUCAUCAUGGCCCUUACGAGUAGGGCUACACACGUGCUACAAUGGCGCAUACAAAGAGAAGCGACCUCGCGAGAGCAAGCGGACCUCAUAAAGUGCGUCGUAGUCCGGAUCGGAGUCUGCAACUCGACUCCGUGAAGUCGGAAUCGCUAGUAAUCGUGGAUCAGAAUGCCACGGUGAAUACGUUCCCGGGCCUUGUACACACCGCCCGUCACACCAUGGGAGUGGGUUGCAAAAGAAGUAGGUAGCUUAACCUUCGGGAGGGCGCUUACCACUUUGUGAUUCAUGACUGGGGUGAAGUCGUAACAAGGUAGGCGUAGCGAG